rnacentral:tRNA from 1 species
GGGGCUAUGGCGCAAUUGGCAGCGCACCUGCUUUGCAAGCAGGGGGUUAGGGGUUCGAGUCCCCUUAGCUCCA